rnacentral:rRNA from 1 species
GAUGAACGCUAGCUACAGGCUUAACACAUGCCAGUCGCGGGACCGGCGCACGGGUGAGUAACACGUAUCCAACCUCCCCUUUACUCUGGGAUAGCCUUUCGAAAGAAUGCUUAUUACCCGAUCUAAAGUAUUGGGAUGCGUUCCAUUAGGUUGUUGGUGAGGUAACGGCCCACCAAUCCUCCGAUGGAUAGGGGUUCUGUGAGGAAGGUCCCCCACAUUGGAACUGAGAAACGGUCCAAACUCCUACGGGAGGCAGCAGUGAGGAAUAUUGGUCAAUGGGCGUUAGCCUGAAACAGCCAAGUAGCGUGAAGGAUGAAGGCUUAUGGGUCGUAAACUUCUUUUAUAUAAGAAUAUGUAUUAUAUGAAUAAGGAUCGGCUAACUCCGUGCCAGCCGCCGCGGUAAUAC